rnacentral:rRNA from 1 species
AAUAUGGAAUAAAAUCUUAUUAAUAAAAAUUAAUUAUUAAAAAUUAAAUUUUAAGUUUAAAUUUAUUAAGUGAAAUUUUAUAUUUAAAUUAUAUUUAUUUUUAAAAAUGAAGUUUAAAAAUUAAAUUUUUAAACUAGGAUUAGAUACCCUAUUAUUUUUAGUGUAAUUUUAUUAUUAAAUUAUUAUAAGUUAAAAUCUUUAAAGUUAAAGAAUUUGGCGGUAUUUUAGUCUAUUCAGAGGAACCUGUUUUUUAAAAUGAUAAUCCACGAUUUAAUUUAUUUUUAUUAUAAAUUUGUAUAUCAUCGUAAUUAAGUAUUUUUUUAGAAUUAUAAAUAUUUAAAGUUUUUUAUAAAAAAAUUAAUCAGAUCAAGGUACAGUUUAUAUAAAAGUUAAAAUGGGUUACAAUAAAAUUAUUUUUGGAUAAUUUUUAUUAUAGGAAUUUGAAUUUGGAUUUGAAAGUAAUUUUAAUUAAUUUAUUAAUUUGAUUUAAGCUCUAAUAU